rnacentral:rRNA from 1 species
AAACGAAAAUGACUCUCGGUUCUCACAUCGAUGCAGAACCUAGCGAAAUGCAAUACUUGGUAUGAACUGCAGAAUCCCGUGGAUUAUCGAGUCUUUGAACUUAAGUUGCGUCACGCAUCGCGUCACCCCCUGGCAUCG